CGACGGGUAGCCGACCUGAGAGGGUGACCGGCCACACUGGGACUGAGACACGGCCCAGACUCCUACGGGAGGCAGCAGUGGGGAAUAUUGCACAAUGGGCGAAAGCCUGAUGCAGCGACGCCGCGUGAGGGAUGACGGCCUUCGGGUUGUAAACCUCUUUCAGCAGGGACGAAGCGCAAGUGACGGUACCUGCAGAAGAAGCACCGGCUAACUACGUGCCAGCAGCCGCGGUAAUACGUAGGGUGCAAGCGUUGUCCGGAAUUACUGGGCGUAAAGAGUUCGUAGGCGGUUUGUCGCGUCGUUUGUGAAAACCAGCAGCUCAACUGCUGGCUUGCAGGCGAUACGGGCAGACUUGAGUACUGCAGGGGAGACUGGAAUUCCUGGUGUAGCGGUGAAAUGCGCAGAUAUCAGGAGGAACACCGGUGGCGAAGGCGGGUCUCUGGGCAGUAACUGACGCUGAGGAACGAAAGCGUGGGUAGCGAACAGGAUUAGAUACCCUGGUAGUCCACGCCGUAAACGGUGGGCGCUAGGUGUGGGUUCCUUCCACGGAAUCCGUGCCGUAGCUAACGCAUUAAGCGCCCCGCCGGGGGAGUACGGA
rnacentral:rRNA from 1 species